AGACCUCUGAAGUUAAGCGUGCUUGGGCGNNNNUAGUACGAGGAUGGGUGACCUCCUGGAAAGUCCUCGUUUUGCAUUCC
rnacentral:rRNA from 1 species